rnacentral:tRNA from 2 species
GAGAUAUUAGUAAAAACAAUACAUAACUUUGUCAAAGUUAAAUUAUAGGUUGAAUUCCUAUAUAUCUUC